rnacentral:rRNA from 1 species
AUAUGCCUACAACAUAGCGUUAAUGCACCAUAUCCCAUUAGAACUCUGUAGUUAAGCGUUCUUAGGCUAGAGUAGUAUUGGGAUGGGUGACCACUUGGGAAGUACUAGUAUUUUACAUGCC